AUGCCUUUUUACCUGCUCAGUUGGCCCAUCAAGUUCUUUUUCCAGCUCCUCCAGCAUAGUCACGGCUUCCUCUCCGUUUUCAGGCUGGUACUCUCGAAGCCAGGCCUGCAGCUCCUCAGGCAGGAUGGCCAGGAACUGCUCCAGCACCAGCAGCUCCAGGAUCCGCUCCUUGGUAUUCACCUCUGGCCUCAGCCACUGAUGGCAAAGUUCCCGGAGCUGGCUCAGAGCCUCCCGGGGCCCAGGGGACUCCUGGUAGCCAAACUGCCUGAACCGCUGGCGGAAGGUCUCUGGGCAGGAGCUGCUUCUCCAGGGGAGGCUGGAGUUCAGAUCACAGGAUACCCCAAGGACUUGGCUUGUUGGGCCCAAAGGAGAGUGGCAAAUAUAUUGCUAUGUAUUAUGAAAUGAAUUACACAGAAAAUUUUUUAACGAUCCACAAUGCCAAAGCAACAUGGUGGUGAAGCAGGGCAACAAUUUCCGUAAGUAUCAUUAGCUUGUUAGCAGAAAGGGAGUAGCACGACAUUUUUAGCACCAUUUUAGUAUAAGCAUCAUUGAUAACUGAUGGCUAAUUAAAAAAUCUUAUAUGUGCCCGUUUUUCCUCUUUAUGCACUCUACCAUCCCCCACCCCAACUUCAUCAAGUGCUGUUCUAGGCACCAAAGGUACAGCAGUGACCUGAACAAGGCCUAUGGCUCCUUAAAGCUUCUAUUCGAAGAGAGAGUCCGGUGUUAUCCAUCAAUGAUACGACGGUGAUUGCAAUGCAGCAAAGGAUAACAAACGACACAGAGAAUUUACUACGCUCUAGUCUCAGCACCUUAUUUCCAUCCUGUCAAAAGCCCCGUGCGGUUACUUUCCCGCGCGCGGGGCGGAGGAGGACCCGAGCGAGGCCAGCUCGGGCGGCGGGAGCCCCGGCAAGGGGCGGGGCUGGGGGCUGAAUCCCCGCCAACCCUGCCCGCCGCGGCGCGGCCACGAGGCUGCCGGGGCCCCCGCGCCCGGAUGAGGCUCUAGGGUCGAGGCGGAGCAGCAGCCAGGGUUCGAGGCCGUGAGUCCGGAGGCCGUUGGGGGAUGGGGCUGGGGGUGGGGGUGUUACACCGGGACCCUAAACUAAAAGCAGACUCUGACGUCGCGGAGAGCGGCGGCGGGACGCGCUCUGCCGCUUGGGCACCAGCCGUCCACACGCGCCGCCUGCACACCUGCUCUCGGCGCCUCCCAACACCGC
rnacentral:lncRNA from 1 species